GAGGGUAUAGCUCAGUGGUAGAGUGUGUGCUUAGCAUGCAUGAGGUCCUGGGUUCAAUCCCCAGCACCUCCA
rnacentral:tRNA from 1 species